rnacentral:rRNA from 1 species
UUUUUCCUACGGGGGACAGCAGUAGGGAAUCUUCGGCAAUGGGGGCAACCCUGACCGAGCAACGCCGCGUGAGUGAAGAAGGGUUUCGGAUCGUAAAGCUCUGUUGUAAGAGAAGAACGUGUGUGAGAGUGGAAAGUUCACACAGUGACGGUAACUUACCAGAAAGGGACGGCUAACUACGUGCCAGCAGCCGCGGUAAUACGUAGGUCCCGAGCGUUAUCCGGAUUUAUUGGGCGUAAAGCGAGCGCAGGCGGUUGGAUAAGUCUGUAGUUAAAGGUUGUGGCUUAACCA